AGUGAACGCUGGCGGCGUGCCUAAUACAUGCAAGUCGAACGGAGUGGCGCACGGGCGAGUAAUGUAUAGCUAAUCUGCCCUACACUAGAGGACAACAGCUGGUAACGACUGCUAAUACUCUCUAGUGUAGGAGGAGGCUAUAUUGUAUCAGCUAGUUGGUGAGUUAAUGGCUCACCAAGGCUAUGACGCAUAACUGGUCUGAGAGGAUGAUCAGUCACACUGGAACUGGGACACGGUCCAGACUCCUACGGGAGGGAGCAGUAGGGGAUAGUGCUCAAUGGGGGAAACCCUGAAGCAUCAACGCCGCGUGGAGGAUGUCACUUGUCGGGGCGUAAACUACUUUUGUUAGGGAAGCGGUACCUAACGAAUAAGCACCGGCUAACUCCGUGCCAGCAGCCGCGGUAAUAC
rnacentral:rRNA from 1 species